AUUGAACGCUGGCGGCAUGCUUUACACAUGCAAGUCGAACGGUAACAGGCCGCAAGGUGCUGACGAGUGGCGAACGGGUGAGUAAUGCAUCGGAACGUGCCCAGUCGUGGGGGAUAACUACUCGAAAGAGUAGCUAAUACCGCAUACGAUCUAUGGAUGAAAGCGGGGGACCGUAAGGCCUCGCGCGAUUGGAGCGGCCGAUGUCAGAUUAGGUAGUUGGUGGGGUAAAGGCUCACCAAGCCAACGAUCUGUAGCUGGUCUGAGAGGACGACCAGCCACACUGGGACUGAGACACGGCCCAGACUCCUACGGGAGGCAGCAGUGGGGAAUUUUGGACAAUGGGCGCAAGCCUGAUCCAGCAAUGCCGUGUGCAGGAAGAAGGCCUUCGGGUUGUAAACUGCUUUUGUACGGAACGAAACGGCUCUGGUUAAUACCCGGGGCUAAUGACGGUACCGGAAGAAUAAGCACCGGCUAACUACGUG
rnacentral:rRNA from 1 species